CUGCUGCCUUCCGUAGGAGUCUGGGCCGUAUCUCAGUCCCAAUGUGGCCGGCCAACCUCUCAGUCCGGCUACUGAUCGUCGCCUUGGUAGGCCGUUACCCUACCAACUAGCUAAUCAGACGCGAGUCCAUCUCUCAGCGAUAAAUCUUUGGUAUCCAUACCAUGCGAUACAGAUACGUUAUGCGGUAUUAGCAGUCGUUUCCAACUGUUGUCCCCCUCUGAAAGGCAGGUUACUCACGCGUUACUCACCCG
rnacentral:rRNA from 1 species